rnacentral:rRNA from 2 species
UCUGAAUCUGCGUACGGCUCCGCAAACCAGUUGUAAACCAAAGCAAGCAUACUCGGGGACUGCCCUUCACGGGGUGGGCUCGGGUGAUACGGAUAACCCUGGUAAUUCUGAGGCUAAUACGAGACUAUAAUCCCUGGCGGACCGGGCAACUGGGAAGCUGGGGGGCGUGCGAUCUAUUUGCAAGACGAUACCAGGAGGGGGUGCACGCUCUGACCGCGAUAAAGACGGUUCCGGUAAACCUUCGGGCGAGCUGGUUCCGAGCGGCUCUUGCGAUGUGCUUCUGACCUAUCAACUAGAUGGCAGCGUAACGGACAUGCCAUGGU